UUUUUGGGAACAAAGUAAAGACUCGCAAUAAAAGAGUUAGAGAGAUGGCACAAUGAUUAAGAGCACUUGCUACUCUUUUAUUUAUUUAUUUUUGGUUUUGUUUGUUCAUUUAUUUUUUUUGUACAGGGUUCCUCUGUGUAGCCUUGGCUGUCCUGGAACUCGUUCUGUAAACCAGGCUGGCCUCGAACUCAUAGAGCUCCUCCUGCCUCUACCUCCUGAGUACUGGGAUUAAAGGCAUGUGCCACACCACCUGACUUUAUUUUUUUUAUUUUUUUGAAACAGGAUUUCACUAUGUAGUCCUGGCUCUCCUGGAGCUCAGUAUAUAGACCAGGCUGGCCUCAGACUCAGAGACCAUCCUGCUUCUGUGCUGGAAUUAAAGGUCUUCCCCACAACCAUGAGACUUUGGGGACACGGUUCGAAGAAAGAGCAUUUGCUAUGCUUGCAUAGCGCCAGGAGCCAGUUCCCAGCCCUUACAUGAUUGCUCACAACUACCUGUAACUCCAGUUCCAGGGGAUCUAACACCCUCUUCUGGUCCCCGAGGGCACCAGGCAUGCACAUGGUACACAGACAUAUAUACAGACAAACACUUAUACAUAUCAAAUUUUUAAAAAUUAAAGAAAAUUAAAAUGUUAGUGAGUAGUACUAUGACUUUUUGAUUGGGGAGUAUUGAUUAGACCAUGUGGCCUACCUUCUAUCAGUAAAUGUAAUUAGGAAGGUAGCACUGUGGGUAAGAGCUCCAGCUAUAAUUCCAACAGAUCAAUGUCAUCAUUUCCCGAGUGAUCUCAGGGAAUUCAACAAACUACUCUUUAAAGAUAAUAAUAGCAUGUACCUCAUCAGAUUGCUAUGAAGAUGAAAGGGGGGAUGUGUGUAUGGACCCUGUUUCUGUACGCACGUGUGUCUGUAAACAUUUUUAAAUGUUAGCUAUGUAUGGCAUUAGGAAAAUGAGUCUAAAGACAUUAGCCCGAUUUAAUGGGGAAAAGCUUUACCUGUGCUCCUAAGAAUCUCUGUCCCCCAGCUUAAUUGAGCUUAUGAUCUCAUAAUUGUGUGGCAUGCCUUUUCCGAGUGCCAAAUCAUAUAAUGCUCAUACUUCAAAACUCAGAAUAGAACUCAGUUUCUCUCUGUUUUUCCUACCUAAACUUGCCCCAUCGCUUAGGUCAUUCAAUUUAGUACAUUUUCUAAAGUAGGAUUCAUAAGGCUAUAAUUAAUUUUGACUUGUCUUUGAGUCCUUCCGUGUUAUUUUUUUAUGCCUAUUUACCUAACUUCCCUAGAUUGUGAGGAAAAGAUUGUAGGCAUUAUUUUUUUUUCCCCGAGACAGGGUUUCUCUGUGUAGCUUUGUGCCUUUCCUGGAACUCACUUUGUAGACCAGGCUGGCCUCGAACUCACAGAGAUCCUCCUGGCUCUGCCUCCCGAGUGCUGGGAUUAAAGGAGUGUGCCACCACCGCCCGGCAAUUGUAGGCAUAUUUCAGGAUAGCUGCCCAGGCACAUGGUACUCAAUGAGUAUUUCAUGGUUAGACAGAUUUUUUUGUUUUUUGGUUGUUUUUUUGUUUGUUUGUUUGUUUGUUUGUUUUUCGAGACAGGGUUUCUCUGUGUAGUUUUGGUGCCUGUCCUGGAUCUUGCUCUGUAGUCCAGGCUGGCCUCGAACUCACAGAUAUCUACCUGGCUCUGCCUCCCGAGUGCUGGGAUUAAAGGCGUGCGCCACUGCCGCCUGUCGAGACAGCUUUAAUUUUUAUUUGGUGUUCUUCUCUUAGAUUCAUGUUCUACCUUCACCUUUACACUUCUCCAAUUUUUUUUUUUUUUUACACUGGCUUCACUAGGCAACCCAGGCCGGCCUCCAGAUUACCUCGCAGCCAAGGCUUGCCAAGAAGGCAUGAUUCUACAGCGUCCACUUCCCAGGGGCUAGGAUCACAGGUGUGAAUCAUCACACAAAACUGAACAUUUUUUCCCCCAUGAUCCAAGCUAUAACAAGAAAAAUAAAGAGAAGGAAGAAUAAUCCUUUUAGGACAUUCAAGCUUAGUUGAUGACAACAUUGUUCUGUUUGCAACUUCCAACACAGUUCAUGAGUCAGCUGAGGUUGGGGGUGUGUACAGUGGUUACUUUUAUGGGCUUUGGAAUCAGGUGCCAAGGUCUGAAUUGAGGUUUGUCUAUCUCUGUGACUUUAGGCAAGUUCCUUCAACCUAGGACCUCUGAGGACUCAAUAUAAAAUGUAGAUAAUGAUCAGACUUACUUCCUCAGGUUGCUGAGAGAAUAUGAGCUCGUGCCAUACAGGGGAAAUAUUUACCAGUGUCUGGUACAUAGUUAAAUGCUCAAGAAAUAUGGAGGAAGCAAGCAAGCAAGAACAGUAAAUACUACGGAAAGCCAGUGUCAUCACUUACAGGAAACUCUAGACCUGAUUGCCACAAUCUGGGGACAGUCAUUAAGUUAAUGGAGACUGUGUCUUAUUUUAGACAAAUGCAACUGAAUUAGGGAAAUUAUCAUUCCCAAGUACAAAAUGUUUGAAAAUCUUGUCUACAUUUCUUUUAAAGCAGUGAUAUCUGUAACUCCUAGGAACUAGACACCACCAGUCACUUAUGCAAUGAUUCCAGACUCAGCAUCCGCAAGGUGAGGCUGCCAUCUUAAACAUUCCAUAGAGCACUGAGAGCUAUGUCAUGGACUUAUAAGGGCAAUGUGACACCUGAGUCACUAAACACUGCUUUUGAGCCAGAUGUGGUGGUCCAGCAGGCCUGUCAUCUAGUAGGAAAGGCAGGGGCAGGAAAUGGAGAGUUCCAGGCCAGUCUCAGCUACAAUGCUAAGACUCAGCGUUAAAACAAAGAAAAAUCAGUGCCUGGUGACAGGUUUAUAAUCUCAACUACUCAGAAAGCCGAGGAAGGAGAAUCGCAAAUCCAAGGCCUGCCUGGGCUACACAUCAAGUUCAGAACAGUCUAGGCAACAUCGUAAGAACUUGACUUAAAAUUUAAAGUUUUGAAAUGGUGUCAGAUGUAUUUCAUGAGCGGUGAGUCCCUAGUUCUAUCUCCAAGACAGGGAAGAAAGAAAAAAAAAAAGCCAAAAAACCCAAACCUCUCGCCACCUAACAAAUUACCCUAAACCCUAGUGGUAACAAACCAUUCAUUAUCUCCCAGAGUUCCUGUGGGUCGGGAAUUUGUACACCUUGCUAGUUUGAGUGCUUUCAUGAGUACAGUCAGGUGGUGAUGAGAAACACAGUUGGAGCAGGAGAGCAGUGGGUUUGUUGUUUGGUUUAUUUUUUAGACAGAGUCUUGGUAUAUAACUCAGGCUAGCCCAGCACUUUCAUUUCUCCUCCCUCAACUUUCAGAGUGCCAGGAACAGGCAUUUGCCACCAUGCCUCUACCUUACAAGCCAUUCUUUAAACCUAUUUUUCCCCAUUCCAAGCCAGUUUCUCAGGCCAAACACUUUGGUGCCAAUCUUGACUCAUAUAUGUCUUUUAUACCCAAAUUAAUCUGUCAUCGAAACAAAUUGACUUUAUUUUCAAAGUACAUCCAAAGUCCAACUGCUCACCAUUCACCUAGUCUAAACUUCCAUUCUCUCCUCUUGCUGGCUUCCCUACCCCAACUUCUGCCCACCUCUCUAGUCUGACAGACAUGAAGCAGUCACAGUGACCCCAUUUUUAAAAAAGAUUUUAUCCAUGUAUUUUGAUUGUGAUAUGUGUGUAUAUAAGAGUCUUUACUGGCUGAGCCAUCUGGAUAGCCCAGGAUUCCUUUUCAGUUUGGUUGGUUUUUCAUUUGUUUGUUAAGAUUAAAUAAUGUUUAUUUAUUUGUAUGUGUGUGUAAGUCUGUGUGCAUGUAUGCUUCGUGUGUGUGUGUGUGUGUGUGUGUGUGUGUGUGUGUGUGCCCAUGGAGGCCAGAAGAGGCAGUCUAGUUCCCUGAGCUGGUGUUAUAAGCAGUAGUGAGCUGCUCAAUGUAGGUGCUGGGAACAGGAUCUGAGUCCUCUGAAAGAGGGUGUCACAUCCCCUGGAGCUGGAGUUAUAAGCAAUGUGAACCAUCUAAUAUAGGUGCUGGGAACAGAACCUGGGUUCUCUGGAAGAGCAGCAAGCACUUUUAACUACUGAGUCAUCUCUCAGAUCCACCUUGUCAUCCUUAUCUAUCACUCCAGUCAAGGUAAAAAAAAAGGUUGCACUACCAAAUGGUUGCACCUCCCAUUUAGUCUCCACUUUUAAAAUCAUGUUAUUUUCAAAUAUUAUAUGAAUAGAAACAGAAAGUAUAUAAAUUUUGGAGACAGGAUUUCUCUGUGUAACAGGCCUGGCUGUCCUGGAACUAUUUUAUAGACGAGGCUGGCCUCACACUCACAGAGAUCUGCCUGCCUCUGCCUCCCAAGUGCUGGGAUUAAAGGCAUGCACUACCACCACCUGGCGACAGUUUUAGUUUUCAAGAAAGUGUCUAUCUGCUUUUCAGAAAGGCUCUGCCAUAUUACAUCUCCAUCAGCAAGGUGUGAAUGGUCUAAUUCUUCUCUGUACCUACUAUAUCAUUCAGUAUUAUACAUUCACAUACACAAACAUAAAUAUGUAUGUAUAUAUAUUCUAAAAUGUAUAUAUUUUUUAAAAUUUUGAACCCCUUAAAACAGAGUUCUCUCAGGGAAACAUACCUGUUUUCAGAAUAAAGACACUAUUCAAGUUGACUCAUUAUUUGUCUACCAAAUCACCUUGCGUUUACACAACUAAGAUUCCAGCCACCCUUAUUAAAAUGACUUUUUUUUCUGAGUCACAUGAGUUGAUCCAGGUGACCCAGACUCAGAACAAACUGAAACUUGAAUUUCUUUUAAUGAAUUGCAUAUACGAGUUCUGCAUUUAUAUCGUUUCUCCUCCCCUUUCCUUUUUCAACACCCUCCCCAUGAUGCUUCCCCUCUCUCAAAUUCAUGGCCACUUUUUAUUGUUGUGGUUUUGUUGUUUUUGAGACAGGGUUUUUCUGUGUGGCCUUGGCUGUCCUGGAACUCUCUCUGUAGACCAGGCUGGCCUCUGCCUCCCAAGUGCUGGGAUUAAAGGCAUGUGCCACCACACCCGGCUCCAAUCUUACUGUCUUUACCCAAGAAUAGUAGCUAAUGGAUGAUAGUGUGUUCAAUACACAGAAUACACAAUGUUGAAUGAAUUUUGAAGUAACCACAUAGCUUGGAUUAUAAUGUUUGUUAUCAAGAUAAUUUCAUGACAGUUAAAGGUAUGAGCUCUGGAGUAAAAGGGGCAUAGUUGAGGAUGGAUCCUUGUGUUCAUUAUUUUGUAGACUUUCUGGGUUUCAGUUUUCUUGCCUGUGACAAAUGCUUAUGUAUUUAGGGGUGUUUAGGGGUAGUGCGAGAAUGAGAGAUUAUAACAGUGUACUGAAACAGUGUACUUAUCACAGGGUGGGUACAGAGUAUGGGACUUGCUUCUAGAAGUUCCUAUUUGUCACUGUCUCUUCUUCUCUGGUACUGGGGAUUGAACCCAGGGCCUUAUAUAUAGGUAAGUGUUCUACUGAGCUAUACUGCCCACCUACAAAUGUAAGAAUGGAUAUAACUUCAAAUUUUCCUUUGUCUCUGGCAUGUGGAAAGCAGCACUAAUUAUGCAUCUGCAUGUUGAAUUAAUAUAUGUAUAUACUGUAGUCAAGGUAGCCUAGUAACUGCAUGCCUGGAGUAAAUGCACCAUCCAUUCAUGAAUUGCAGGUGAGUCAGUUCUUUAUACACAAUACAUGCUACCAAAUAAAAUCAAUGGAAAAAUUCUGGCUCAUAGCGCCUGAAUAUAUCUAAACCAUCUGGCAAAUUCAGUGAGCCAAGCAUGGAGGUGGAAUUGAAUACAUUGGUUGGACAGACUUACUCCUGUGAAAGCAACUGUUCUUUUUUUAAACAAAAAACAUAGAAAAAACAAUGCAAAACACCCCCUUAAAACCCCAUUUGUUUACUUGUGUGUGUGUGUGUGUGUGUGUGUGUGUGUGUGUGUGUGUGUGUACAUGAGCAUGCUCCAUUGUGUGCAGUGGAGGUCAGAAGAGUCUUGUAGGAGCUGUUUCUCUCCAUGUGGAUCCCAGGGAUGGAACUCAGGUUGUCAGACUUGGCAGCAAGCACCUUUACCUGCUGAGCUGCCUCACCUGACCAAACCAAUUCUGUUAUACAUGGUACUUAUCCAAGAGACGGUUUGCUAUGUUCAAGAAGUGGUUCUAGUGUUUAUAAAUCUUCACACACACACACACACACACACACACACACACACACACACACAGAGAGAGAGAGAGAGAGAGAGAGAGAGAGAGAGAGAGACACCAGGUAUAUAUACAUGUAUCAAAUGCCUAAAUUAACCAAAGUGAUUAUGAUAACACUGAAGUAGAGAAAAGGAGAAAAGUUAGGCAGAGGCAGGCGGAUCUCCUUGAGUUUGAGGCCAGCCUGAUCUACAAAGAGAGUUCCAGGACAGCCAGGGCUACAAAGAGAAACCCUGUCUCAAAAAACCAAAUAAACAAAGAAAUAAAUAAAAAUAAAGGGCUUGAAGUUUUUAAAAAAAAGAUAUUAGGUUGUAAAUUUGGUCAAUAAAUACACUAAACAUUUUGUUGUUGUUUUCAAAACAGGGUUUCCCCGUGCAUCUCUGGCUGUCCUAGAAUUCACUCUGUAGACCAGGCUGGCCUCGAACUCACAGAGAUCCUCCUUCCCUUGCCAUCCAAGUGCUGGGAUUAAAGGCAUGUAUCACCACGCCCAGCUUUUGUGUUUGGUUUUUAGAAAAAGAUUGAUUCAUUUUUAUUUUAUGUGCAUGUGUGCAUGCCUGAAACGCUGUAUGUGCACCAGAAAACGAUGUCACGUCCACUGGAACUGGAGUUACAGGCAGCUGUGAGCCACCAGCAUGGGUGCUAGGAGUGCCCCUUGGUCCUGUGGAAGAGCAGCGAGAACUCUUCCACUCUUAACUGCUGUAUACUCUUAUGGUUUUUGUGUUGUUGCUUUUUUUUUCUUUUUUUUUUUUCAGACAGAAUCUCUCUAUGAAGUUCUGAUUAUCCUGGAACUCCCUACAUAGACUGGGCUGGCUUCAAAUAACAGAGAUACACCUGCUUCUGCUUUCCAAGUGCUGGGGUUAAAAAGGCUGGAGAAUAGAGAUGAGUCUCAGGCCAGUUCCAAGACCCUGUCUCAAAAGCCAAGAAAAAUAAUACCUUAUGAUACAAAAACUUGGAAUUGACAGUUUUAUUCAUUAAAAAUUUCAGGCUUCUGGAACACA